GGGCGCGUGGUUUAGUGGUAUAAUUUUCCCUUAGCAUCUCAUUAUACCUGGGAAAGGUCCUGGUAAGUCACACAGAACAGAUCAAUGUCAUAAACACUCAACUAACAGUCAACAGGGUUCGAUUCCCAGCGUGUCCA